UGGCAAUGUGGCUCAGGUCCCUGCAGUAGC
rnacentral:piRNA from 1 species